rnacentral:misc_RNA from 1 species
GUUUUGAUCAUCACCAUCACCACUAUCUUUUCUACGUUUUAUACCAACUCUGGAAGUCGAUUUUUGCAAUUCUUUAUCCUCUUUUCCCUCAACAGCACCACUCUUUGCAGUAGAAGGAACGUCCUUAACAAGUGCAUGAACUGCUGCUUGAUCAGCAGGUGGGAGACUUUCCCAUCCAGACAACUUCUCCACUUGGAUAGAUGGGUACAAAUCCACAAAACAGGUGAAGUGAUGCCAAGCCAACCCCUUAGCUCGUGGCUCUUCAGGCUUCGAGGAUAAACGAACCUGUCCCUUCAUAAUCUUUUGGUUGCAGCGCCUGCAAGUAGCACGAGAAGUUUGUGAAACUUCAAU